AUGGCGGCCGCGGGAGGUCCUCUUCAAGGUCAAGCACGUCCAGGCCAAGCCUGCUGGCCGCCCUCGCGGGUGACUGCCUCCGCGGUGACAACGGCGACCUCGUCAUCCCUGGAGGCCGCGGCGCCCCUCAAGGCCGACCUCCGCCACGUGAGUGAUCCGUCGAUCUCGUCUCUCCAACAGUGUUCCGGAUGCACGCAUGAGUUCGACCUGGAAAAGCCGCCGGUGCUGCAGGAGGUGGCGGAUUUCUUCAGUGGCCACGGAAUCGAGGACUUCACCUUCAGCAGGGGCAGGCUGUCAGAAUGGCGUUGCCGGGCAAAGCUAGUGGUACGCGGAACACCAGAGAAACCACUGAUUGGCCUGUAUCGGGAAGGGACACAUACUGUUCAAGAUAUUCCCGAUUGCAGAGGUAGGACAGGAGGAACAGCGACAAGCGACGGGAUGAAGCCCGGCCAUGGAAACCCACCGCAGCCUUCAAGACCUCGACGGCGGUCGGUGCUAUGGUAUGAAUCCUUCCUCCACUUCAAGAUCUCUACGUACGGCGGUCGACAGCACGCGCGUGCAUUGCACUCUUCCUCUUGCUCUGUUCUUGGGCUGAUGCUGGCGGCGGUGCAGGGGAUCCUGAUCAACAUGCAGUUCCCGGGGCCGCAGAUCGACGCCGUCACCAACGACAACAUCGUCAUCAACGUCUUCAACAACCUGAUCUGA
rnacentral:rRNA from 1 species